UAUGUGAUCGUCUCUCGCAUAUCAAUAAGCGGAGGAAAAGAAACUAACAAGGAUUCCCCUAGUAACGGCGAGUGAAGCGGGAAGAGCUCAAAUUUGAAAUCUUAAAGGGUUUCCCUUUACGAAUUGUAGUUUAAAGAAGUGUUUUCUGUUGAGGUUUUGGUAAUAGUUCUUUGGAAUAGGACAUCAUAGAGGGUGAGAAUCCCGUAUUUGACCUUUACUUUCAACUUUGUGAUACACUUUCAAAGAGUCGGAUUGUUUGGGAAUGCAGUCCAAAAUGGGUGGUAAAUUUCAUCUAAAGCUAAAUAUUGGCGAGAGACCGAUAGCGAACAAGUACCGUGAGGGAAAGAUGAAAAGAACUUUGAAAAGAGAGUUAAACAGUACGUGAAAUUGUCAAAAGGGAAGCGUUUGACACCAGUGUUGUUUUUCUGAGAAUCAAUUAAAGAACUGUUUAUGCUAAGUUGUUUAGACUUUAUCAGCUAACUGUUUAGUUUUGAGCUUUUCUUUAAUGCACUUUUCAGUUAACAAGUCAACAUCAAUUUCUUUUGCUGUAAAAAAGCUUGAGGAAGGUGGCUUGAGAUUCGUCUUAAGUGUUUAUAGCCUCUUGCCUAUGCAGUCGGAGAGAUUGAGGUCUGCAGCGUAGAUCCUUCGGGGCUAAAUGCAUUUGUGCUAAGUUAUAGCAUUUUAUAGACAACUUGUUGACUAUGAUUUGUCUUGUAGCUUACUCGCUUAUGUUAUUUUACCUACGCUUAGGAUGUUGAGUAGCGACAUACGCAC
rnacentral:rRNA from 1 species